GACGAACGCUGGCGGCGUGCUUAACACAUGCAAGUCGAACGGAAAGGCCCUGCUUUUGUGGGGUGCUCGAGUGGCGAACGGGUGAGUAACACGUGAGUAACCUGCCCUUGACUUUGGGAUAACUUCAGGAAACUGGGGCUAAUACCGGAUAGGAGCCCCUGCUGCAUGGUGGGGGUUGGAAAGUUUCGGCGGUUGGGGAUGGACUCGCGGCUUAUCAGCUUGUUGGUGGGGUAGUGGCUUACCAAGGCUUUGACGGGUAGCCGGCCUGAGAGGGUGACCGGCCACAUUGGGACUGAGAUACGGCCCAGACUCCUACGGGAGGCAGCAGUGGGGAAUAAUGCACAAUGGGCGGAAGCCUGAUGCAGCAACGCCGCGUGCGGGAUGACGGCCUUCGGGUUGUAAACCGCUUUCGCCUGUGACGAAGCGUGAGUGACGGUAAUGGGUAAAGAAGCACCGGCUAACUACGUG
rnacentral:rRNA from 1 species